rnacentral:rRNA from 1 species
CAGUUCAAGAGUACGUGAAACUGCUUAGAGGUUAAGCCCGAUGAACCUGAAUAUCCGUUAUGGAAAAUUCAUCCACUAAUACUAUAAUAUAUAUCAUAUUGUAGAAAUAGUGUGCAAUUUUUCCAUAUAAGGACAUUGUAAUCUGUUAAUGUAAUAAAUAUUUAUCAUAAGAUCUUUUACUUAAGUUUAUUUAAAUUAGUUAUUUUCGGAUUUCUAACAUAGAAUAAAUGUAUUAGAUUUGAUAAAUCAUUGACAGAUUUAAUUAUAUAUAGUGCUUAAAUUUUUCGAAAUUUUACAAUGCUGAGUAAAUCUAUUGAUUUAUUUAUAUUGUAUGCACUUAUAUGAUUAACAAUGCGAUAGAUUCAGGAUACCUUCGGGACCCGUCUUGAAACACGGACCAAGGAGUCUAACAUAUGUGCAAGUCAUUGGGUAUUUUUAAUAAAACCCAAUGGCGUAAUUAACUUAACUGUUUUAAAUGGGAUUAGUUUAUAUUUUAUUAUGAAAUAUGAAUUCAAUCCCGGGAGCGUUCUAUACAGUUAUGCAUAAUAAUAUUUAUAUUAUUUAUGCCUCUAACUAGAGC